rnacentral:rRNA from 1 species
UUGGGCGUAAGGGCUCGCAGGCGGUUUCUUAAGUCUGAUGUGAAAGCCCCCGGCUCAACCGGGGAGGGUCAUUGGAAACUGGGAAACUUGAGUGCAGAAGAGGAGAGUGGAAUUCCACGUGUAGCGGUGAAAUGCGUAGAGAUGUGGAGGAACACCAGUGGCGAAGGCGACUCUCUGGUCUGUAACUGACGCUGAGGAGCGAAAGCGUGGGGAGCGAACAGGAUUAGAUACCCUGGUAGUCCACGCCGUAAACGAUGAGUGCUAAGUGUUAGGGGGUUUCCGCCCCUUAGUGCUGCAGCUAACGCAUUAAGCACUCCGCCUGGGGAGUACGGUCGCAAGACUGAAACUCAAAGGAAUUGACGGGGGCCCGCACAAGCGGUGGAGCAUGUGGUUUAAUUCGAAGCAACGCGAAGAACCUUACCAGGUCUUGACAUCCUCUGACAACCCUAGAGAUAGGGCUUUCCCUUCGGGGACAGAGUGACAGGUGGUGCAUGGUUGUCGUCAGCUCGUGUCGUGAGAUGUUGGGUUAAGUCCCGCAACGAGCGCAACCCUUGAUCUUAGUUGCCAGCAUUCAGUUGGGCACUCUAAGGUGACUGCCGGUGACAAACCGGAGGAAGGUGGGGAUGACGUCAAAUCAUCAUGCCCCUUAUGACCUGGGCUACACACGUGCUACAAUGGACAGAACAAAGGGCUGCGAGACCGCAGGUUUAGCCAAUCCCAUAAAUCUGUUCUCAGUUCGGAUCGCAGUCUGCAACUCGACUGCGUGAAGCUGGAAUCGCUAGGUAUCGCGGAUCAGCAUGCCGCGG